rnacentral:rRNA from 1 species
UUCAACGGAGAGUUUGAUCCUGGCUCAGGACGAACGCUGGCGGCGUGCUUAACACAUGCAAGUCGAGCGGUAAGGCCUUUCGGGGUACACGAGCGGCGAACGGGUGAGUAACACGUGGGUGAUCUGCCCUGCACUUCGGGAUAAGCCUGGGAAACUGGGUCUAAUACCGGAUAUGACCUCCUAUCGCAUGGUGGGUGGUGGAAAG